rnacentral:rRNA from 1 species
GACGAACGCUGGCGGCGUGCCUAAUACAUGCAAGUAGGACGCACAGUUUAUACCGUAGCUUGCUACACCAUAGACUGUGAGUUGCGAACGGGUGAGUAACGCGUAGGUAACCUGCCUAUUAGAGGGGGAUAACUAUUGGAAACGAUAGCUAAUACCGCAUAACAGUAUGUAACACAUGUUAGAUGCUUGAAGGAUGCAAUUGCAUCGCUAGUAGAUGGACCUGCGUUGUAUUAGCUAGUAGGUAGGGUAAUGGCCUACCUAGGCGACGAUACAUAGCCGACCUGAGAGGGUGAUCGGCCACACUGGGACUGAGACACGGCCCAGACUCCUACGGGAGGCAGCAGUAGGGAAUCUUCGGCAAUGGGGGGAACCCUGACCGAGCAACGCCGCGUGAGUGAAGAAGGUUUUCGGAUCGUAAAGCUCUGUUGUUAAGGAAGAACGAGUGUGAAAAUGGAAAGUUCAUACUGUGACGGUACUUAACCAGAAAGGGACGGCUAACUACGUGCCAGCAGCCGCGGUAAUACGUAGGUCCCGAGCGUUGUCCGGAUUUAUUGGGCGUAAAGCGAGCGCAGGCGGUUAGAAAAGUCUGAAGUGAAAGGCAGUGGCUCAACCAUUGUAGGCUUUGGAAACUGUUUAACUUGAGUGCAGAAGGGGAGAGUGGAAUUCCAUGUGUAGCGGUGAAAUGCGUAGAUAUAUGGAGGAACACCGGUGGCGAAAGCGGCUCUCUGGUCUGUAACUGACGCUGAGGCUCGAAAGCGUGGGGAGCGAACAGG